UCCACCAAUAGGAAGGCAGCUAAAUGUUGCCUGGGGCACUCAUGCAAAAAAGGGAACUGCACGAAAGAGGCCACAAGUAAAAUCAUGUCCAUUGCAUUUACAGCGGGCAGCAUUCUUCACAACCACCAAAGGGAGAAGAAAUCACUGACGACGGACAGACGGACAAAACAUGGCAGACACAGACAGUAGGAUGUGAUCCAGUCUUACAAAGAAAGAAAAUUCUGACACAUACCAGACUGGUAAAACCUUGAGGCCAUUACACUAAAUACAGUAAGAUAGACACAAAUGUACUUUGUUAUUCCAACUGUAAGGGGUACCCAGAAUACACAGACUCACAGAAAUGGAAGGAAGGUAGACAGAUGGCUGCCAGGACUGAGGAAGGAGGGAAUGAGGAGUAGUUAUUUAAUGAGAAACAAAUGAAUCUAGAGCUUCAGGAUGAAAGGAUGGGAAAGCCAGCAAAUUGGAUGAUGGUGAUGGCUACUGUCAAUGUACUUUACACCACUGUGUUCUUUAAAAAAAAAAAAAAAUGUUACAAGAGAGGCAGGCCACUGUUGAUCUCUGACUGCCACCCAAUGCCCUCCUCCAGCUUCCUCUAAGAUUUAUUACCGCGGGCUGGAGAGAUGGCUCAGCCGUUAAAGGCUAGGCUCACAACCAAAAAUAUAAGAUUUAUUACCGCAUCUCCCCGGACAUGAGAUCCUGUUGCGCCCACACUAAUUCAGCCCCAACUUGUUCAACCACAGUAAGUUAGAAGGUCUUUACCAAGGUGGAGGGACCCUGCCUGGGGUGGGAUCGUCUAGCCAAUUGGAAGCUAUGUCCUUUAUCCAGUUUUGUACAAGAUUUUGUCUCAGUUUAAAAAAAAAAAAUGAUGCAAGGUUGCUGGAGCUGUGGUCACUCAGGUCAACAAGGCUGGAUUCUUUACAGAUACUAGGUCCUCAUCUUGUUCCGUCCCCGCACACUCCACCCCAUCAGGAAUGGAGGUUGAUCACAACUCCGUCCAACUAAGAGCCUGGAUUGGGACACUGUGACCCAGCAGGAGCUGAGAUCUGAGCCUGGACGACACAGUCACAAACACCGGCCCAAGCCAUUCUUUCCCCUGACAUCUGCCAAAGACAACUGGUUGUUUCCAGGAACAACUCCAUUAUUUCUCUGCUCGGAGAGGAAGGUGUGCCAAAUUCUCCGCCAGCCAACUCCACCUAAAAGACACACAGUGACACGUGGUGCCAAUCCUCAGAGAACCAGCAUCUCCAAACUCAACCACCUGUCACUACAGAGCAUCUACAGAGUCAGAGAGCUGACCAAGAGACAGCUCAAGAAAGACAGCUCUUCCCUGACACAGGGGCUCACAAAAAAAAAAAAAAAAAAAAAAAAAAAAAA